ensembl:lncRNA
AUGGUACAUCCCAAAGUUAUAAGACGCCUUUUUUCAAUUUGCUCCCUAUUAGAAAGAAAUGCUGUAAGCGAUGUUUCUCCAGAAACUGGUGUUGUGCUAGCAAGCAGAAAUUUACAGAUGGUUAGAAGAUACACAUCAGCACCUGUAUUUCUCAAGCUCACAAAAAAGGGAAAAAAAAAAGAAAACCAAACCAAAACCACAAAUCCCCCAUCAGUUGCUGAAAGCUUCCAGAUUCCUGAUGAUCUCUGCACCUCCUAAAUGGAGAUAAAUCUCAAGAGAACUCAAAGCCAAAAAUAAGGUUUGUAAUUUACUCAAUUGUGUCUUUUUGUUUGUCUGUGCAUACAAACAUAAUGAAGGGGUGGACUCAAGCCCACAUAAAAUAGCCCUGAUAAAUUCCCUAUUUGUUUUCAUUGUAUGGAUGAGAUGAUGUUUGUUUACAUCUUGUAAAAUAUAUCCAAGAUCUGACUUAGCACUUUUGCAAUGUCUCUAGAAGACUAUAAAAUUACAUUUAAGUUCCAAAACUUCAACAACAUGUAUUUUGAUGGCAUUAGGCUUUACAUAUUAAUUAAGUGUUGAAAAGACAUUAAUAAUAUGCAUCACCUGAGGUACUGAGAUUUAGAUGCCCAUUGUAAAAUGAAUCUAUGAUGACUGCAUUUUAAUGUAUUAGUAAUUAUUACCCUAUUAAAACACAGUAUUAUCAAUUUUGCAACACUAAAUUAUGGGAUUACCCUACCCCUAAUUAAACAGUACCACUGUAACCUUCUUAAAAAUCUUGACUAUGUCAAGUUUCUGCUAGAGGGUCAAUGCCUUCAUACAAGUGUACAACAGGCAAAAAUGCUGUCAGUUUAUUUCUGAAUUUUCAUAAUCAAAACUACUAUUUAUGUAUGCUGCAGGAAAAAAAAUAACUGCAAAAGUGUACAGCUUGAGUGCUGUCAUGUCAGAAGUACAUGGUAGGUGUUUGGAAACCCAACACAACUGGUUUCUUUCAUCAUUAUGGAACUCACUUUUUUGUAAUUCAAAAUGAAUGCCAGACAAGAACCAUUGUUACAGCAUUUCAGAAAAAUGUAACUCAAUUGUGAGCUAAACAUAAGUUCUUUUAGCUGUCAAGUUUUCAUGCUUAUAAUCAGACCUCCAGGGGCAAUCUUCACUUUUUCUAACAAGUAAAUGGCCAGACAGUGCAGCUCAGUAAGAAGAUCCUGAGUACUGAAAAUAUACAUGACUCAUAUACGUGCAAGUAGGUGUUAAUUAUCAAUGUACAAAGAUUAUUUCAGCAAUUUUUAUCCCAGAGAAAAUUCAAAUUUGAGCAAUCAAAAUAUUCUGGUUCAUGGCCAAAGAUAAUCUUCCGUGCUUUACAUGGUACACAUAUGUAAUACACCUGGUUCUAAAAAAGGUACUGUCUCCUCCUUACAGUAAUUGUUACCAUUCAUUAAAAACUAUGCUAUUUUGGGAGAAUCUCUUAACUUAUAAAUAGGAUUUGUAGAUAAAACUGUUUUAACUGCUAGAAUUCAAGUUCCUUUUUAUUCUCACCCUAGGAGGAAGAAUUGGUAAAGAAAAGAAACAGCUUUCUCUUUCUAGGUAGGAAGAUAUAAUAAAUACACCAGAAACUAAACUCUUCACAAUUUGUGCAAUUUUCUCCAUGAUGUUGCACCCUACACAUGACUUCUGAUGGACAGAAACAGUGUUUAGAUGCUUUACCUAAACAGUAAAUACCUCCUGUUUAGGGAGGGGAUCUUACAUGAUACUCCUUCAGACAUCAACCUAGUAAGUUACUUCUUGGCAAAUUCUGGUGUACUGUCCUUACAUCAGUUCCCAGUUGUUUCCAGACAAGUAGUACAUCAAUCUUCUCUUUCUCUUGAAUACCAGUGGCUUCCAUAAAAUGAGUUCAUAUUUUGAAAACAUUUCUCUGGCACAUUUCCCUGGAACAUUUCCAGGAAUAUUGAGCGUCUAAUGACCAACUGAACAUGAAUAAAACUUAAAUUUCUCUCUUAAAAAUCACAAGUAAUGCUGAAAACAUAUGUCAGAUGUUACAAUGCUUUUGUUGCUGGCAGAAUUUAAAAUUUAAAAUAUGGUAAGGGG